GUCUACGGCCAUACCACCCUGAAUGCUCCCGAUCUCAUCUGAUCUCAGAAGCUAAGCAGGGUCAGGCCUGGUUAGUACCUGAAUGGGAGAAAGAAAGAAAGGAAGGAAAGAAGUUAUAGCUA
rnacentral:rRNA from 1 species